UGGGGUAUUUACCGAAGGAGGCAUAACAAUUGGUCUGGGCAUGUCCGUUCUGGCACUGAUCCUUCAUCCCACCAACAGCAAGAUGGAGAUCCAGCAACAAAUAACACUCACAUGAGCACCCGAGGAAGAUACACUCCCUAUGCCAUUCCAUCCUGGCAUCAGAGGGGCAAUUUUCAGAUACAAGACCAAGCCCAAGCUAACAUGAAGGGAGAGCAAAAGCCUCCAGAGAGAAGAAUGGAGGGGAAGGGGCAGGAUGAGACCUCCAGGAGCUGGUUCAAGAUCAUAAUUCCAUUUGGCAUCAGAUAUGAUGAGAAGUGGUUGCUGAAUCUGAUUCAGAAGCAAUGCAGUAUCUCC